rnacentral:rRNA from 1 species
UACGGAGGGGGUUAGCGUUGUUCGGAAUUACUGGGCGUAAAGCGCGCGUAGGCGGACUAUUAAGUCAGGGGUGAAAUCCCGGGGCUCAACCCGACCGAGCUUCUGAUACUGGUAGUCUUGAGUUCGAGAGAGGUGAGUGGAACUCCGAGUGUAGAGGUGAAAUUCGUAGAUAUUCGGAAGAACACCAGUGGCGAAGGCGGCUCACUGGCUCGAUACUGACGCUGAGGUGCGAAAGUGUGGGGAGCAAACAGGAUUAGAUACCCGUAGUC